GACGAACGCUGGCGGCGUGCCUAAUACAUGCGAGUCGAGCGCAGGAAGUCAUCCGACCCCUUCGGGGGGACGUUGACGGACUGAGCGGCGGACGGGUGAGUAACACGUAAAGAACCUGCCCUCAGGUCUGGGAUAACCACGAGAAAUCGGGGCUAAUACCGGAUGGGUCAUCGGACCGCAUGGUCCGAGGAUGAAAGGCGCUCCGGCGUCGCCUGGGGAUGGCUUUGCGGUGCAUUAGCUAGUUGGUGGGGUAAUGGCCCACCAAGGCGACGAUGCAUAGCCGACCUGAGAGGGUGAUCGGCCACACUGGGACUGAGACACGGCCCAGACUCCUACGGGAGGCAGCAGUAGGGAAUCUUCCACAAUGGACGAAAGUCUGAUGGAGCAACGCCGCGUGAACGAUGAAGGCCCUCGGGUCGUAAAGUUCUGUUGUAAGGGAAGAACAAGUGCCGCAGGCAAUGGCGGCACCUUGACGGUACCUUGCGAGAAAGCCACGGCUAACUACGUG
rnacentral:rRNA from 1 species